UACGAGGGGUGCAAGCGUUGCUCGGAAUUAUUGGGCGUAAAGAGCUCGUAGGCGGUUUGUCGCGUCUGCUGUGAAAACUGGAGGCUCAACCUCCAGCCUGCAGUGGGUACGGGCAAACUAGAGUGCGGUAGGGGAGAUUGGAAUUCCUGGUGUAGCGGUGGAAUGCGCAGAUAUCAGGAGGAACACCGAUGGCGAAGGCAGAUCUCUGGGCCGUAACUGACGCUGAGGAGCGAAAGCAUGGGGAGCGAACAGG
rnacentral:rRNA from 1 species